rnacentral:rRNA from 1 species
UAUAACGGGGUAUGAAUCCCGGUAGUAGUACGCCCUAAAAGAGAUGAGUUGGAAGUGGUAGAGGGUUUGGCACGCAGUAGUGGAAAAUAACGCGCUAAGUUCACCGCCUGGGGAGUACGGUCGCAAGACUGAAACUCAAAGGAAUUGACGGGGGCCCGCACAAGCGGUGGAGCAUGUGGUUUAAUUCGAUGCAACGCGAAGAACCUUACCUGGCCUUGACAUGUUCUGAACUUUCCAGAGAUGGAUAGGCUGCCUUCGGGAACUCGAACACAGGUGCUGCAUGGCUGUCGUCAGCUCGUGUCGUGAGAUGUUGGGUUAAGUCCCGCAACGAGCGCAACCCUUGWGCUUAGUUGCCAGCACGUAAUGGUGGGAACUCUAAGGAGACCGCCGGUGACAAACCGGAGGAAGGUGGGGAUGACGUCAMGUCAUCAUGGCCCUUAGCCCAGGGCUACACACGUACUACAAUGGUAGGGACAGAGGGCUGCAACCCGGAGASGGAAAUMCAAUCYCAGAAACCCUAUCUCAGUUCGGAUUGGAGUCUGCAACUCGACUCCAUGAAGUUGGAAUCGCUAGUAAUCGCAGAUCAGCAUUGCKGCGARGAAUACGUUCCCGGCCUUGUCCCCCCCSCCCGUCCCACCAGGGGAUGUUGUUGCCCCAGAAGCAGG